UGUAGUAGUAUACAAUUUUGGCAACAUCUUGACUAGAGAGCAUAAAUUGAAACACUCCAUUUCAUUUCUUGGUAAUUUGUUCCUAUUUUCUAUUAGCAAAAGCAAACUGAACACGUGUCAACUUUUAAUUCAUGUCUUUCAGCAGGAAAGGGAAAUAACAAUAGUGAACGCCCCAACAAUCCUAGUCGGAAACCCUUUAUGAGCACAUCGAUCUGAGCAAAGGCGGGUCAUUGAGAAGGAAUGGAAUGGUCAAGGCAAAAAACAAGGAAAUAUUUUAAGCUUUAACUUCAGCUUAACUCAAGAUGUACGUAGCUCUGUAGUCUCACGUUUGUACAUUAAUUUAACCAUGGGAUGCAAUGAAAGGGAUACACAAACCAUUGACAGCACAACUUCUGAGGGUUUCCCCAGCCAGAGGAACCAGUCCCAG
rnacentral:lncRNA from 1 species